AUCCAUCUGACGAGUCUCAAAUAGGACGAAAUAUGCAUUAUAGAU
rnacentral:hammerhead_ribozyme from 1 species